AUGCUGAGGACUCUGGAGAGACUGCCGUCGUAAGAUGUGAGGAAGGUGGGGAUGACGUCAAAUCAGCACGGCCCUUACGUCCGGGGCUACACACGUGUUACAAUGGGGGGUACAGAAGGCAGCUAGCGGGUGACCGUAUGCUAAUCCCAAAAGCCUCUCUCAGUUCGGAUCGAAGUCUGCAACCCGACUUCGUGAAGCUGGAUUCGCUAGUAAUCGCGCAUCAGCCACGGCGCGGUGAAUACGUUCCCGGGCCUUGUACACACCGCCCGUCAAGCCAUGGGAGCCGGGGGUACCUGAAGUACGUAACCGCAAGGAUCGUCCUAGGGUAAAACUGGUGACUGGGGCUAAGUCGUAACAAGGUAGCCGUACCGGAAGGUGCGGCUGGAACACCUCCUUUCUGGAGC
rnacentral:rRNA from 1 species